CACAGGCUCUUUGGUGACGCUAGAUAACCUCAGGCCGAUCGAACGUCCCUGUGACGGCGACUACGCAUUCGGAUGUCUGCCCUAUCAACUUUCAAUGGUACUUUCUGCGCCUACCAUGGUGACCACUGGUAACGGGGAAUCAGGGUUUUAAUUCUGGAGAGGGAGCCUGAGAAAAGGCUACCACAUCCAAGGAAGGCAGCAGGUGCGCAGAUUACCCACUCCCAACGCGGGGAGGUAGUGAUG